ACCAAGUCAUUGAGUACAUUUAAAAAGAGGAUAGAAGAAAAGGAUUCACUACUGGAGGAGAGCUAUAAACAACAAGAGGACACAGAGAGAAGACUGAAGAAAGCCUCAACAGAACUGGAGGAGAAGACUCAACACCUUCAGGAGAAAGAGACACAACUAGAAGAUGUUAAACAUGAAAACACUCAACUUGUACAGCAGAUAUGUGACCUAAAGACUGAGAUAGCAAGACAAAGAAAAUAAUCAAAUCAGACCAGUGUGGGAGGAGAGACCCCAUAUACACAUGCCACACAACCUAUUAGAAGAAGAAAUAGUAUGUGGGAGCCUCCUGCGAGUAAGAACUAUUCAUUCUCAAAUACAUCAUGAUACUGUAGUUUGUAUUUUGACAGAGUGAAGGAGGUAAGAAACCGAUCAUCAUACCGCUAGAUAUUGUCACCUUUUGACCA